rnacentral:rRNA from 1 species
GACGAACGUUGGCGGCGUGCUUAAUACAUGCAAGUCAACUGAAGCAGUGGUAGCAAUAUCGCUGUGGAGGUGGCGCACGGGUGAGUAACACGUAGGUAAUCUGCCUUCAGGUCUGGCAUAACUCCGGGAAACCGGGGCUAAUAGCAGAUGAUGCAGCGGCUCGACAUCGAGACAGUUGUUAAAGCUAUGGCGCCUGAAGAUGAGCCUGCGUCUGAUUAGCUAGUUGGCGGGGUAACGGCCCAACAAGGCAACGAUCAGUAGCUGGUCUGAGAGGAUGAUCAGCCACACUGGAACGGAGACACGGUCCAGACUCCUACGGGAGGCAGCAGUAAGGAAUAUUGCUCAAUGGGAGAAAUCCUGAAGCAGCAACGCCGCGUGAGGGACGAAGGGCUUUUGCUUGUAAACCUCUGUAGUGAGAGAAAAAAAUCCCAAUCUUUGGGACAUGAUGGUAUCUCAAAAGUAAGCCCCGGCUAACUACGUG